AGAAAGGUAGCAUAAGUUUAAUGCGGUUGUUUUCGGCACGAUCGAUAGGAAGUUCCUCCUUUCUU
rnacentral:tRNA from 1 species